GCGCACCAGGCGCGAAAACUUCACACUGUGCGAAAGCACGAUGAGGGAAUCCCAAGUGCUUGCACGUAAGUGUAAGCUGUUUCUCUGUCUAAAACGCAGAGAGAGUAAGGGCUGGGUAAGACGGGUGCCAGCCGCCGCGGUAAUACCUGCAGCUCAAGUGGUGACCGUUAUUAUUGGGCCUAAAACGUCCGUAGCCGGUUUAAUAAAUGCCUGGGUAAAUUGUGUAGCUUAACUAUACGAAUUCCGGGUAGACUGUUAAACUUGAGACCGGGAGAAGUUAGAGGUACUCCUGGGGUAGAGGUGAAAUUCUGUAAUCCUAGGGGGACCACCAGUGGCGAAGGCGUCUAACUAGAACGGGUCUGACGGUGAGGGACGGAGCCCUGGGGCGCAAACGGGGAUUAGAUACCUGGGUAGU
rnacentral:rRNA from 1 species